GUAGAGGCUAAAAGAAGCCAUAAUACCUGGCUUGCUAAAAAUGUUAACAUGGGGCUUGGGGUCCGACGCGAAGGAAGGAAGAUUUCAGAAAGGACCGAUGAAAUCCGGUGCAAAGAAGAGCAAGAGUUUCUGUCUCUGAGACUGCCUUGCCUUCUCCAAUCUUUCACAGCGAGAAUGGCUGUGAGGUGGUAUGGGGGAAUUGAAUACUGGUCAAAGAACUUUCAGUUAUGAAACGAGUAUGUUCUGGGGAUCCUCAGUAUGGUGACUAGAGUGGUACUUCCUAUUGACUGAUCUCAAGCCAAAGUCAGAACAAAAGAAGCACUUAAUUCACUUAAUUCAGACAAUGAUGUUGGUCUAAUGGGUUAUAGACCAGAGGGAGAAGAUCAGAAAAAAGAUGUGAAGAGGUAAAUAGAGGAU